rnacentral:lncRNA from 1 species
GGAGAUUAAGGGAGGGAGGCAGCUUGGAGUAUCUUGGGGGGAAAAAAAUAUAGGCGGCGAAGAGAACAAUUGGAAGGAGAUUUGGAGAAUAACCGAGAAAAUUUGGUCGUUUUUGGGUGAAGAGAAGCGGCUACCCUGGGGGGAAAUCAGAGAGAGAAUUAGAAGAGAAUUGAAAUUGGUUUUGAGUAAAAAUAGCCAGCUGGAAUUCAUUGAAAAUGCCACCUUGUGGAAAUAUAUACACAUAUAAUUGGGCAGCAAUUUGUGAGUUAAACUGGGAAGUAAUAUAGGGUUGAAUUGGGAUAUCUUCUUGGAGAUUAUUACACGCCAACUGAGAAGGAAACACAAAAAAAUAGAGGGCUGCAGGAAUUGAAAAAGAGACGCAAAUGCGUGGCCUGCUGCUAAAUUAAUAGACAUAUUGGCGGCUGAAUUUGGGGAUUGGAGAGAUAGAUUUCAUAUACAAAGAGCCAUAAAGCACGCCAAUUAGGGGAGUUAAUAAGGCAGCAGCUUGCAGUUGCUUGGGAAGUAAAAAGGCAACUGGGGAAGAGACACACAUACACAGUCAAGGGCCAAGAAAAAGUGAAGAAUUAAUAAUGUUCCGUCAAUUUGUGAUCUCCUUCCGCUUUUGUGUGUUUAAUUCCAACGUGAUGCUAGCUUAAAUCUUUUUAUGUAUUGGAUAGAUGAUAAAAUUGUUUAAUUCUUAGUUUUAAUUCGAG